GGAGAGGUGCCGGAGUGGUCGAACGGGACGGACUCGAAAUCCGUUGACCUGCUCUGCAGGUCCCAGGGUUCGAAUCCCUGCCUCUCCGCCA
rnacentral:tRNA from 1 species